GGGGAAUUGCAUAACCUUAAAAAGGAUUUGACUAAUCAUCUUUUUUGUAAUCCCUUCACAGUCCCAGGUUUAGUGAAAAACUGCUGUAACACAAAGGGGACACAGAUUAACGAUGCAACCUUUAAUUACUGUUUUCUUUUCUCUUAACCUACUAAUAGUUCAUUUGAGCUGCUAAGUAAGGGUGAGUGGGUCAAAAAUUGCUCCGAAUCGGGUUUAUGUCAUUCACUGCACUGCAUAGAAACAAUUAACUUGUAACAUAGUCAUUAUAAUGGGCAUUGAAAUAGGAAAGGCUGUGUGUGUAACACUAAAGCCUUGCAACUCUUCCAGGAGCCCGCUCCCUACUUAGUGAACUCCCUGUUUUAGAACACCAAAGAUAGGGAAUAGAUACUACUCUUUUUCUCUUGUAACCUUCUUGUAGACUUGUACUUGAUUUUUUAUUUUUUUUUUUUUUUUAAGACUUACUGUUAUUUCAGGAAAAAAAAUGAAAGCUGAUCUUUCACUUCAUUCAGCUGGUAAGCGGAAGAAAGAAAUCCACACGAAAAAGGACCGUAGGCUUGUGCCUGAGAAGAAGUGCACUUGCUGUUAGGGACCCCAGGGCUGGGUGCUCGGCAGAUGGACACAUCCUGUGACUCUCCCUUAAAGACAGGAUCCAGCACAAUGGCAACGUGUUUCUCUGAUCACAAGAGAGGAGUCAGACCUGUCAUACCUCAGACGUCGCCUGAAACCUGAAUGAAGGAAUGUAUCUCACCCUGGCAUCUCUGCAUACAUAGAUGAAGAACUUCUGCCACUCAAUUCAUCCUUUUUUUAUCUCUGACCAUCUUCCUGAUCACAUUAAUUGUCAAAUGUACAGAAGUCCUUUGUCAUAUAGCCUUC